ACAGAAGUACAGAAGGGAAUAAGAUGGAACAGAGCUGUAGGAACUGGCUAAAUUUGGUCGUUGAAUCUGGUUAUUUACUUUUCUCCCCUCAAAAUGCUCCAUCCAUCCACGCCACAUCUGAGGACUAUGUCUUCCAUGGAGCAUGAAGAUGCCUUUUCUUGGAAGAGGAUCAUUAGCUCUAAAGAGCUUGGAAGGUACAACAUAGAGAGGAACAGGGACAAGAGGUGCUCAAAGUCUUGUAUAAUGAAUGAGCUGUCAAUGACUAAACAAGUCACAGAGAAUCAGGCCCUUUGUCUCACUUGGAUAUUAAAUCACUGGAAAGAGUAUGGAGAAGAGCUACUGAAACUAUGAAAGGGCUGGUAAGAAUGCUUUACUGCAAAAUGUAAAAAACUUGGUAUGAGUGCUUUAAAAGGAAGAACAAAGAUGAUUUGAUUACAGUGCAUAAAUGCCUUGGAGAGUUACUAUCAAUACCAGAAGUAAGAGAGACGAGCGUAACAAGACUGGUGGAAGGAAGUUAAACCCACAUAUAUUCAUGUUAGAUACAUAAACCACCCUCUGCUCAUUAAAACAAGGAAAAAGGUGGACCAAAUUCUUAAAUCAAGCUUGUAUGCCCUUCUGGAAUAUAGCCUUCAGCCAAAAAAGAAGAAAUUAGUCUCACUCUAAGAGCAGCUGGAUGAAAUUGUGUCACUUGUGUUAUGCAAGAGGUAAAAUCAGCUGGUUCUGUGAUGUCUUUUGGUCUUAACAUCUGCUGUUUGUUAGCUCUGGCUCUGGCUUAUCUCCAGCCUUGAUGUGGGAUUUGGGAAUCCUCCUUGUAUUUGCAAGUAUUUGUAGUUUUAGAGAGACUAUGGAAGUACUAUGGACUAACUUUCAACAUUAAAAGACAAGUUAAAAGGCAACUUGAAGAAUUCUAG
rnacentral:lncRNA from 1 species